UGGGCAUCCAAGCGCUUGGCAACCAGCUCAUUCUGACUCUCCUCUUGCCUCCAGAGCAGCUUCUUUAAGACUUCCAGUCGAACCUCCUGCAGCCUGCAAAGAAAGGCCAGCUGGGAUCAAACCAGAGGAUUCCAUGCUGAGAUUGCUUGUCUUCAAAGACCUCAUCUAAGCCCUCCAACAUGCACUGUGGAACUUCACGAGCCACUGUAUGGCUACCUAUUGCAGCAAAGCCUACAGAGAUAUGCUUCAUUAACCUCCCGUGACAUACAAUUUACUGCCAAGAAUCAGAAGCCCAAAUUGUGAUGCCAGGAUAAAGUUUAACUAAGACACCCCUGCACUAAAAAUGUGGUGUCCUGGUUCAGGCCUUGUAUACCCUUGAAUGAGCAGCAAAAGCAAUCUAACCAGCUGCAACUGCGCUAGUUGAAACCUGCACUGGACUAAAAAGAAAGAGCUCCCGCUGAAGUACACACAUGAGUCAUUGAAGUCUUCAUAACUUAUUUC